UAGUUCAGUGGUAGAACAUCACCUUGCCAAGGUGGGGGUCGCGGGUUCGAACCCCGU
rnacentral:tRNA from 1 species